GCAGCCGCGGGAAUACGAAGGGUGCAAGCGUUACUCGGAAUUACUGGGCGUAAAGCGUGCGUAGGUGGUGGUUUAAGUCCGUUGUGAAAGCCCUGGGCUCAACCUGGGAAUUGCAGUGGAUACUGGGUCACUAGAGUGUGGUAGAGGAUAGUGGAAUUUCCGGUGUAGCAGUGAAAUGCGUAGAGAUCGGAAGGAACAUCUGUGGCGAAGGCGACUAUCUGGGCCAACACUGACACUGAGGCACGAAAGCGUGGGGAGCAAACAGGAUUAGAUACCCCCGUAGUCCCUGUCUCUUAUACAC
rnacentral:rRNA from 1 species